CAGAAUAUGAAUUUAUAACUGCACUUGAGGCAAAUAUGAAUAAAGUGGAUAUGGUGAAUAAAAAGAUGUCGCUGCUAUACCAUCUUGAAAAGACGAUCGCGGCAUGGGCCCAAAGAUAUCUUGAAGGACAUGAAUAUGCUGUAGAUUCUUCUUUGGCUUUUCUAGAUAGAUUGUUAGAGUGAGGUCCCUUCCUGGAUGAGGAAUACACAGUACUAGACUUCAAAUCCUUACACCUAUCCAUCCAGCAGGCCCCUGCUGCCCUUAUGCUCUACUGUUUUAUCCUAGAAUAUUUGCCAACAGUUGAUAUGUCCCUGAUAAGAGACAUCUGCCAUUUAAUUAUGUAUAACUCGUAUUAUGUCUUUCGUGGAAGGUACUAUUUGCAAAAGACUGGAGUACUGAUAGGUGGCCCUAUGGCUGGAAUCAUGGCCGAGUUAGUAGUUAGUUAUAAGGAAUCCACUGUAUUAGAAUCUCUUAAGAC
rnacentral:lncRNA from 1 species